GAUGAACGCUGGCGGCGUGCCUAAUACAUGCAAGUCGAGCGAACGGACGAGAAGCUUGCUUCUCUGAUGUUAGCGGCGGACGGGUGAGUAACACGUGGAUAACCUACCUAUAAGACUGGGAUAACUUCGGGAAACCGGAGCUAAUACCGGAUUAUAUUUUGAACCGCAUGGUUCAAAAGUUAAAGACGGUCUUGCUGUCACUUAUAGAUGUAUCCGCGCUGCAUUAGCUAGUUGGUAAGGUAACGGCUUACCAAGGCAACGAUGCAUAGCCGACCUGAGAGGGUGACCGGCCACACUGGAACUGAGACACGGUCAAGACUCCUACGGGAGGCAGCAGUAGGGAAUCGUCCGCAAUGGGCGAAAGCCUGACGGAGCAACGCCGCGUGAGUGAUGAAGGUCUUCGGAUCGUAAAACUCUGUUAUUAGGGAAGAACAUAUGUGUAAGUAACUGUGCACAUCUUGACGGUACCUAAUCAGAAAGCCACGGCUAACUACGUG
rnacentral:rRNA from 1 species